rnacentral:rRNA from 1 species
UACGAAGGGGGCUAGCGUUGCUCGGAAUCACUGGGCGUAAAGCGCACGUAGGCGGAUUGCUAAGUCAGGGGUGAAAUCCUGGAGCUCAACUCCAGAACUGCCUUUGAUACUGGCGAUCUUGAGUCCGGGAGAGGUGAGUGGAACUGCGAGUGUAGAGGUGAAAUUCGUAGAUAUUCGCAAGAACACCAGUGGCGAAGGCGGCUCCCUGGCCCGGUACUGACGCUGAGGUGCGAAAGCGUGGGGAGCAAACAGG